GACGAACGCUGGCGGCGUGCCUAAUACAUGCAAGUUGAGCGAUGAAGCUUGGUGCUUGCACCAAUUUGAAGAGCAGCGAACGGGUGAGUAACGCGUGGGGAAUCUGCCUUUGAGCGGGGGACAACAUUUGGAAACGAAUGCUAACACCGCAUAACAACUUUAAACAUAAGUUUUAAGUUUGAAAGAUGCAAUUGCAUCACUCAAAGAUGAUCCCGCGUUGUAUUAGCUAGUUGGUGAGGUAAAGGCUCACCAAGGCGAUGAUACAUAGCCGACCUGAGAGGGUGAUCGGCCACAUUGGGACUGAGACACGGCCCAAACUCCUACGGGAGGCAGCAGUAGGGAAUCUUCGGCAAUGGACGAAAGUCUGACCGAGCAACGCCGCGUGAGUGAAGAAGGUUUUCGGAUCGUAAAACUCUGUUGGUAGAGAAGAACGUUGGUGAGAGUGGAAAGCUCAUCAAGUGACGGUAACUACCCAGAAAGGGACGGCUAACUACGUG
rnacentral:rRNA from 1 species